UACGUAGGUGGCAAGCGUUAUCCGGAAUUAUUGGGCGUAAAGCGCGCGCAGGUGGUUUCUUAAGUCUGAUGUGAAAGCCCCCGGCUCAACUGGGGAGGGUCACGCGAUACUGUUCGACUCGAAGGCAGGAGAGGGUAGUGGAAUUCCCGGUGUAGUGGUGAAAUGCGUAGAUAUCGGGAGGAACACCAGUGGCGAAGGCGACUACCUGGCCUGUUCUUGACGCUGAGGCGCGAAAGCUAGGGGAGCAAACGGG
rnacentral:rRNA from 1 species